rnacentral:misc_RNA from 1 species
GGGUGGCAUCAGCAGCCA